rnacentral:rRNA from 1 species
UUAAGUGAAUAAGGGCGCACGGAGGAUGCCUUGGCACUAGGAGUCGAAGAAGGACGCGACAAACGGCGAAACGCCUCGGGGAGCUGUAAGUGAGCUUUGAUCCGGGGAUAUCCGAAUGGGGAAACCCGCUAGUGGUUAUACGCUAGCACCAUAUGGUGAAUACAUAGCCAUAUAGGAGACAGACCCAGGGAACUGAAACAUCUAAGUACCUGGAGGAAAAGAAAGAAAAAUCGAUUCCCGUAGUAGCGGCGAGCGAAGUGGGAAGAGCCCAAACCGGCACUAGCCGGGGUUGUAGGACCUUCAUAAUUGACAAAUCAUGAUAGCCGAGUGGUCUGGGAAGGCCAACCGGAGAGGGUGAGAGUCCCGUAGGUGAAAUUGUGAAAUGCAUGGAAGGAAUCCUGAGUACGGCGGGACACGUGGAAUCCCGUCGGAAUCAACGAGGACCAUCUCGUAAGGCUAAAUACUACCUAGUGACCGAUAGUGAACCAGUACCGUGAGGGAAAGGUGAAAAGAACCCCGGGAGGGGAGUGAAAGAGAACCUGAAACCGUGUGCCUACAAAUAGUCAGAGCCCGUUAAUGGGUGAUGGCGUGCCUUUUGUAGAAUGAACCGGCGAGUUACGAUAUCGUGCGAGGUUAAGCAGAAGAUGCGGAGCCGUAGCGAAAGCGAGUCUGAAUAGGGCGAAGAGUACGAUGUUGUAGACCCGAAACCGUGUGAGCUAGCCAUGAGCAGGCUGAAGGUCAGGUAACACUGACUGGAGGGCCGAACCAGGGCACGUUGAAAAGUGCUUGGAUGACUUGUGGCUAGGGGUGAAAUUCCAAUCGAACACGGAUAUAGCUGGUUCUCUCCGAAAUAGCUUUAGGGCUAGCCUCGAUGGCAAGUCUACUGGAGGUAGAGCACUGAAUGGGUGAUGGCCCCACCUCGGGGUACUGAUCUCAAUCAAACUCCGAAUGCCAGAUAGAUAUCAUCGGGAGUCAGACUGUGGGUGAUAAGGUCCAUGGUCAAAAGGGAAAGAGCCCAGACCGCCAGCUAAGGCCCCCAAGUGUCCGUUAAGUGGAAAAGGAUGUGGAGAUGCACAGACAACUAGGAGGUUGGCUUAGAAGCAGCCAUCCUUUAAAGAGUGCGUAAUAGCUCACUAGUCGAGUGACUCUGCGCCGAAAAUGUACCGGGGCUAAACGGACCGCCGAAGCUGCGGAUUGACACUUAGGUGUCAGUGGUAGGAGAGCGUUCUAACAGCGGAGAAGCAGUACCGGAAGGAGCUGUGGAGCGGUUAGAAGUGAGAAUGCCGGUGUGAGUAGCGAAAGAUAGGUGAGAAUCCUAUCCAUCGAAAGCCUAAGGUUUCCAGGGGAAGGCUCGUCCGCCCUGGGUAAGUCGGGACCUAAGGUGAGGCCGAAAGGCGUAGCCGAUGGACAACAGGUUGAUAUUCCUGUACUGCAGUAUGACAGAACUGUGGGGACACGUAAGGAGAGCGGGAGCCGGAAAUGGAAAGUCCGGUACAAGCGAGGUACCAGUACGGUAGGAAAAUCCGCCGUGCAAUGGGAAGACGUGAUGUGGAGCGAAUUUUAGUAGCGAAGCCCGUGAGCCAUGCGUCAAGAAAAGCCGCUAUUGUUCAUGCUGUACCCGUACCGUAAACCGACACAGGUGGAUGAGGAGAGAAUCCUAAGGCCGGCGGAAGAAGCAUUGUCAAGGAACUCGGCAAAAUGGCCCCGUAACUUAGGGAUAAGGGGUGCCUGGGAAACCAGGCCGCAGAGAAUAGGCUCAAGCAACUGUUUAGCAAAAACACAGGUCUAUGCGAAACCGAAAGGUGAGGUAUAUGGGCUGACGCCUGCCCGGUGCUGGAAGGUUAAGAGGAGAGGUUAGCGCAAGCGAAGCUUUGAAUUUAAGCCCCAGUAAACGGCGGCCGUAACUAUAACGGUCCUAAGGUAGCGAAAUUCCUUGUCGGGU